AACGAACGCUAGCGGCGUGCUUAACACAUGCAAGUCGAACGAGAAAGUUCUUCGGAACGAGUAGAGUGGCGCACGGGUGAGUAACACGUAGGUAAUCUACCUUGUAGUGGAGAAUAACCAUUGGAAACGAUGGCUAAUGCUGCAUGACAUCUCUUUACAUAAGUAAAGAGGAAAAAGGGGGCUUCGGCUCUCGCUAUGAGAUGAGCCUGCGUCCAAUUAGCUUGUUGGUGGGGUAAAGGCCUACCAAGGCGACGAUUGGUAGCUGGUCUGAGAGGAUGACCAGCCACACUGGAACUGACACACGGUCCAGACUCCUACGGGAGGCAGCAGUGGGGAAUAUUGCGCAAUGGGGGAAACCCUGACGCAGCGACGCCGCGUGUACGAUGAAGGCCUUCGGGUUGUAAAGUACUGUCAGCAGGGAAUAAGAUGUAUCAAUUAAUACCUGGUAUGUUUGAAGGUACCUGCAGAGGAAGCACCGGCUAAAUCUG
rnacentral:rRNA from 1 species